CAGAAAUUUUAAUGUGCCUUUUAUUGAAAAAACACGAGAUUUUGAUACUUUACAUUUCUGCCGCAAAUCACUAUACAAAUUCGGCAACACCAGGGAAGCUGAAUACUUGUGGAUUGAUGGAUCAGGAAGUCCGAAACUGCAGCUGAUGCUAAUCUUUCUUCAGUUACGAAACCUGUCAGAGGAUUGUGAAUUCCCACCAAUUUCUUAAAUUCCAAUUUUAGAAUCCCAUCAAUCUGUAUUUGACCUGUACAGAGCUGCAGUAGCGAAUUUUAGGGUUCACAGCUGUUCGUGGGGAUAUCUUGCA
rnacentral:misc_RNA from 1 species